rnacentral:rRNA from 1 species
UACGUAGGGUGCUAGCGUUGUUCGGAAUCACUGGGCGUAAAGCGCGCGUAGGCGGCGCUUCAAGUCAGGGGUGAAAUCCUUGGGCUCAACCCAAGAAUUGCCUUUGAAACUGUAACGCUGGAGUGUCGGAGGGGAUAGCGGAAUUGCUAAUGUAGAGGUGAAAUUCGUAGAUAUUAGCAGGAACACCGGUGGCGAAGGCGGCUAUCUGGACGACAACUGACGCUGAGGCGCGAAAGCACGGGGAUCAAACAGG